GCCGCGGUCGCAUAAUCUGGUAUUGCACUAGCCUGGAAAGCUAGGCCCUUCGGGGCAUCUCGGUUCAAAUCCGAGUCGCGGCG
rnacentral:tRNA from 1 species